GACCCAGCAAUCCUAGAUAUAUACCCAAAAUAUUUGAAAGCAGGAAUGCCAAGGGAAACCUGUACACCAAUGAUCAUUGCAGCACUUUUCACGGUAGCCAAAAGGUGGAAACAACUGAAAUGUCCGACAACAGGUGAAUGGAUAAACAAAAUGUGGUAUAUAAACAUAAUGGUACAUGUCUUGGUCAUCUACUGCUACCAUAACAGAAAUACCAUAAGUGGGUGGCUUUAACAAAGAGAAAUUUAUUUCCUCACAAUAAAGUUGGCUAAAAGUCCAAAUUCAAGACAACAGCUCCAGGAGAGGCUUUCAGUCUCUGUUGGCUCUGGAAGAAGGUCCUUGCCCUCAAUCUUCCCCUGGUCGAAGAGCUUCUCAGGUGCAGGGACCCCGGGUCCAGUGGACACGCUGUGCUCCUGGUGCUACUUUCUUGGUGGUAUGAGGUCCCCAACUCUCUCCUUGUUUCCCUUUAUCUCUUGAGAGAGAGAAAGUGGUACAGGCUGCACCAAAGGGAAACUCCCUUUAUCUUGGAUCGGGGGGUGACCUGAGUGAGGGUGGUGUUAUCCAACCCUAACCCUUUUAACAUAAAAUUACAAUCAUAAAUGGAGGACAACCACUCAAUACUGGGAAGCAUGGCCUAACCAACUUGAUACACACAUUUUUCGGGGGACAUAAUUCAAUCCAUGACAGUAUACUACUCAGCCAUAAAGAGAAAUGAAGUCCUGAUGCAUGCUACGAUAUUAUGUUGAGUGAAAUAAGUCAGUUCCAAAGGAUAAAUACUGUAUGGUGAUGAAUCUGUGAAACAUUUCAUAACACGGAGGAACCUGGAAGGCAUUAUGCUGAGUGAAAUUAGUUGCAAAAGGACAAAUAUUAUAUAAGACCACUAUUAUAAGAUCUCGAGAAAUAGUUUAAACUGAGAAGAACACAUUCUUUUGUGGUUACAAGAGGGGGCAAGGAGGAAAGAUGGGAGGAGGUAUUUACCAAUUAGAUAGCAGAUACCUACUUUAGGUGAAGGGAAGGACAGCACUCAAUACAGAGGAGGUCAGCACAACUGGACUAAACCAAAAGCAAAGAGGUUUUCUGAAUAAACUGAAUGCUUCCAAGGUCGGCGAAGCAGGGGCAGGGGUUUGGAGACCAUGGUUUCAGGGGACAUCUAAGUCAAUUGGAAAAACAAAAUCUAUUAAGAAAACCUCCUGCAUCCCACUUUGAAGAGUGGCGUCUGGGGGUCUUAAAGGCUAGCAAGCGGCCAUCUAAGAUGCAUCAAUCAGUUUCAACGCACCUGGAUGAAAGGAGAAUAAACAACACCAAGGACACAAGGUGAUUAUGAGCCCGAGACAGAAAGGGCUACAUGAACCAGAGACUACAUCAUCCUGAGACCAGAAGAACUAGAUGGUGCCCAGCCACAACUGAUAACUACCCUGACAGGGAACACAACAGAGAACCCCUGAGGGCGCAGGGAAACAGUGGGGUGCAGACCCCAAAACCUUGUAAAAAGACCAGACUUAAUUGACUGAGACUAGAAAGGCCCCGGCAGUCAUGGUCCCCUAACCUUCUGUUGGCCCAGGACAGGAACCAUAUGUGAAGCCAACUGAUCAGACAUGGAUUGUACUGCACGAUGGGUUGGAGACAGAUGCUGCUGAGGAGUGAGCUACUUACAUCCGGUGGACACUUGAGACUGUGUUGGUAUCUCCUGUCUGGAGGGGAGAUGGGAGGGUACAGAGGGUUAGAGGCUGGCAAUAUGGUCAUGAAAAGAGAGACCAGGACUUCAGUCUAGUUAUAGGCCUAGAAGCAACAAUGAGUGUUGGGAAUGUGUCUGGAGAACAUUCAGCAAUGUCUUGUAAGACAUCUGCCUUAAGGGAUGAUGCCCCAGGCAGUGACUCAGACAUCACCCUAGUGGACGACUGAGACAAAGGCUCUUCAGACACAACUGGGUUAAUCUCAGCAGAUGGGGUCUGAGGGGCUAACAGUUUUCCUGGGGAGGGUGGUUUAGCAGCCAAACAUGGAGUAAUCCCUUCAGGCGGGAGCUGCUAUUUGGUGAUGGCCUUGCUAUUCCUCAAUGAAACUCAUUUUCUUUCACUCCUAAUAGAGUGUGGGAUUUUGUUCUUCAACAACACAAACAAACAGAAAACAUGACCAGAGCCUUUGCAGCAGCAAAUUAGCUAGGAGAAGAUUAUAAUGUAAUGCUUUCAAGUUCUGAUUUAAAGUAGAAUUCUAACCCAGGCAAAAUGUGAGGGCAAUCAAGGCAUUUCCAGACAAGUAAGUAAGAACUUAAACAUCUACUUGCAAGGCAUGCACCUUGAGGAAACUGUUGGAGAAAGGAAAUCGGCACAAAGGACUGAUGAGAAAAAAAAAAAAAAAAGACUGUUUAGGAAUAGAAAAUAAAAACAGACAUCUGAUCUGUCUGUAAAGAGACUAAAGUAACUCUAAGCGCUCAAUGUAGUCUUUCACCUUAGGUUUGGCGUUGGCUGUCUAGCAGCUCCAGGUAAGCUUUCCCCCAGGUUCUACCUUCCUUCCCUAGGAAUCAACCCAUCACCAUGAAGGAAAUGAGUUGCUUUGCGGAUCAGGCUAAAGAAUGUGAAGACUUAAGGCAAACUUUUGGUAUCAGCCUCCUCAGGUUUCUGACAUGCCCAGCAAAGUGAGAGAUCAUUGAAACUCCUUGUUUCCAUUCUCAUCUGGAGAGCUAACAUUCUGAGCAACGUGAUUGUUAACCAACCAGUCUUGAGAAUAUCCGUCCUGUGGCUGCUUUGUAACCAAGGUGAAACCCCCUUGAUCUCCUGUCUUUCAAUUGUGUCUUGUAGCCAGUCAAUCGACUCACGUAAGCAAUAAUGACAACGAUUGUGCUUUACUUGUCGCGCCUUUGACUGACCUUCGUCACUGUGAACCAACAAGAAAAACUGUAAUUUUAUUCUCCCCCUUCAGCACUCUGAUUACUCCUGAUUUGCCUUCUUCCCCUGAGAUUCCGGAACGUCAGCCUGAGACUUUGCGAUCUCCCACUGCCACGUCUCCGCUGCAAUAAAUCUCUUUCGAUAUUACCUUAAGGGAGCUGGAAAGUCUUUUCUCUCCAACAUUUUGGCGUAGUUAAUCGGCAGGGUUUUUGAAGUUACCCUUCCCCCGGAGACCCGAAGACCUGAAACACGGGACUCUGGCACCCAGGGCCCCUCUGUGUGCCCCUCGCUGCAGCUUUUUCGGACCCUUCUGGCUGUCUGGGGGGAGAAGGGAGCAGAGAGACUGGAGGACUUCAUUACCACCAAGCAGAAGAGCCAGGAGCAUUUGCUUUGAACCAGGGGCCCCUGCACUGAGAAGCUGCUAGAUCUGGGGAAGACUGAUGACAAGGACCUUCUCCCAGAGCCAACAGAGAGAGAAAGACUUUCCUAGGAGCUGACGCCCUGAAUUCAGACUUCUAGUCUCCUAGACUGUGAGAGAAUAAAUUACUCUUUGUAAAAGCCA